rnacentral:rRNA from 1 species
GGACAAGCCCUGGAAACGGGGUCUAAUACCGGAUACCAGUUUCGCGGGCAUCUGUGAUGGUGGAAAGCUCCGGCGGUGAAGGAUGAGCCCGCGGCCUAUCAGCUUGUUGGUGAGGUAAUGGCUCACCAAGGCGACGACGGGUAGCCGGCCUGAGAGGGCGACCGGCCACACUGGGACUGAGACACGGCCCAGACUCCUACGGGAGGCAGCAGUGGGGAAUAUUGCACAAUGGGCGAAAGCCUGAUGCAGCGACGCCGCGUGAGGGAUGACGGCCUUCGGGUUGUAAACCUCUUUCAGCAGGGAAGAAGCGAAAGUGACGGUACCUGCAGAAGAAGCGCCGGCUAACUACGUGCCAGCAGCCGCGGUAAUACGUAGGGCGCAAGCGUUGUCCGGAAUUAUUGGGCGUAAAGAGCUCGUAGGCGGCUUGUCACGUCGGGUGUGAAAGCCCGGGGCUUAACCCCGGGUCUGCAUUCGAUACGGGCUAGCUAGAGUGUGGUAGGGGAGAUCG